GCCUUAACUUUCCAAUCUCCUUCUUCAACUCUGUUGUCUUCCAUGAAUUUACUCUCCGUCGUCGUUUCUUCCACCUUGUCAUGCCCUAAAACCCACGACCGAUGCCUGCAAAUUCUUCCUCGAUCGCCAUGGUCGUUGCCAUGUUCAAGGACCACUCUGCAAAAUCGCCGCCGAAUCGGCGAAAGAUCAAAGAGAUACAAACGUCGGUUUCUCUGCUACGAGCGAAAAGAAGAAAGGGUAGAAUCAAGAGAAGAACUACAGCCUGUUACGUUGCCUGAGAAGAAAGGAACUAUAGCAGGAGCCGUGGCUUUCAUAAUCGGUACCAGUGUCGGAUCGGGGAUUCUUGCACUUCCAGAGAAAGCAUCUCCGGCUGGACUUUUUCCCAGUUCCAUAUCGAUAAUACUAUGUUGGGGGUUUCUUCUGGUAGAAGCACUGUUGCUCGUUGAGAUUAGUGUGGUUAUGCGGAGGAAGAAGAUUGAACGGGGAGAGACGGGGAUGAAGGUGAUUUCAGUGAGGACUAUGGCCCAGGAGACGCUAGGGGACUUUGGUGGAACCCUGGCCACAGUUGCCUAUGUUUUCCUGGGCUACAUUUCCAUGGUUGCCUAUAUUUCCAAGUCCGAAGAGAUCCUUCUCCAAUCAUUCAAUCUUCCAGCUCCACUUUCAGGCCUCUUUUUCACCUUAGUUUUUACUCUGCUCAUCUCUGUUGGUAGGACUAGAACCGUAGAUCAAGUCAACCAAUGGCUUACAGCUUGUAUGAUAGGUUUACUUCUGGGAAUUGAGGUGUUAGCAGUUCAGUUUGGGGGAUGGUUUGCAAUGGAAGGUGGAGGAGACUGGACAAAGGUCCCAACUACAAUACCUGUUAUUAUCUUUGCUUUGGUAUAUCAUGAUGUAAUACCAGUUCUGUGUGCUUACUUGGAAGGCGACCUUCCUCGCCUAAGAGUUUCAGUUUUGAUUGGUAGCUUUAUUCCAUUGCUAACACUACUUGUCUGGGAUGCAAUAGCGUUUGGCUUGUUAGCGCAAGCUGAUCAAGUAGUCGACCCUGUUGAAUUGCUCCUGAGAGUGAGAUGGAGUGGAGUUUCUUACAUGGUAGAAUGGUUCUCGCUUCUUGCUGUUGGAACAUCUAUGCUGGGGACAUUACUAAGCUUCUCUGAGUUUUUCAAGGAGCAACUCCGUAACAUCUUUUUUAAUUUCUCUACAUCAGAGACUUUGCAAGAGCCUUCGAAUGUCGCUUUAAAGAGGAAUUGGUGGGAAAUGAAUAAAGUAAGCCUCAUUGCCAUGGCAAUUGCUGUUGGUCCCUCUCUUCUUGUGUCCACUACUAAUCCAGAUUCGUUCUCCGCUGCCACAGAUAUUGCAGGUGGAUACUGUAUGACGAUGUUGUAUGGAGUUCUGCCCCCAGCGAUGGCAUGGGCAAUGCACAGUAGGGAAUCUGAGGACACUAGCUUCAAGACAUUAUUGAGAGAGAGGCCUGCACUGUUUGGGCUAGGUUUAUUUGCUUGUGGUAUUAUGGUGGAGCAAGUUCUUCAAGAUAUUCUGAAAUUGCAAUCGUAGCAAGGGAGGAUACUGCAUGACAAUGCUGUAUGGAGUUCUCCCCCCAGCAGUGGCAUGGGCAAUGUACAAUAGGGAAUCUGAGGACACCAACUCCAAGGCAUUAUUGAAAGAGCGGCAUGCACUGCUUGGGCUAGGUUUAUUUGCAUGUGGUAUAAUGGUGGAACAAGUUCUUCAUGAUACUCUGAAAUUGCAGUCCUAGUAAGGUAAAAGCCUUUUUCUUAUCUAAAUUGGUUUUAUUUGUUUGUGUUUACUAUUUCCCUUAAUUUAAUUUCAUGCUUCUACUCAACACCUGAAAGCGAAUUUCAUGCCAAGAUAAACAGUCUAUAUCAUAGAAUUAAAGCUACAAAAAUUUGAACGAACUACAUUACAUUACAAUCUUUGCAUCUGUAUUGUUUGAACGAAAUGUUUUUUAAUUUUUUUUUUCGAGAUCUUGAUCUUCGGUGCCACCACAGAUUCAUGCAUUUGAAAGUUCAUCUCACAAAUUCUAAACAGAAGAAAACUAGGAAAAUACCAUUACUUAUCUGCAACAGUCUUCCUCUUCAACAAAAAAGUUUACAAAUCUCAUGCAGAUUGCAGACUGAAUUUGAGCAGCACUUGCUGAAAACUUGAAAGAAGAUGAACAGCUUGAAUUGCAGACAAUCUUGUUAUAUAAAUUAUAACACAAUUGAAGCAUCUGUGUUAAAAACAGCAUACCCAAUGAAGGAAAGCUGCGCAGAGUUUCCAAGAGGGAGACCAUAGAACGCCUCAGGCCAAGGAUCAGAUAAAAAGGAUAGAGAAGAGAAGAGAAAAGACAAGAUGGUGGAGAUGGGUGCCAUUCUUUCUCCAAAUGCUGUAAGUAUUGAAUUUUUUUUUCACCUGUUCUUUAUACUUCAUCAAAGAAAAUGAGUUUAUAUAGAGCUGAAAAAGCACGAAUCUCAAUAAAAUGUUUAGCCUUAAGUUUACCUGUGGGGUCCUAUGCCCUGACCCAGAAAGCAAAAGGAGCAAUAUUAUGUUUAGAAGGAGAAGAUAUGAUGUAAUGUAAAGAAAUUAUGUAGGCGUGCCAUAGAAUUCCAAACUCAAGUGAAAUAGAGUCAUGGUUGCUUUCAGUUGAUUUGAGAUUUGUGAUAAAAAGAAAGCAAAAGAAGAAUCACAAGAAACAGGAUAGGAAAAAAGGAAGAUUGGUAUGGGGACCAGUCAUGUCCUAAUUUUUGGAAUCCUUUAGUUCAUUCUUGAUUGAAAGGCUUCAUAAAUAUUCAAAUCAAGGAGCUUAUGGGGGUGAAUUGAAGA